CAGGAGUUCGAGACCAGCCUGGCCACCAUGGUAAAACCACGUCACUACUAAAAAUACAAAAAAUAGUCGAGUGUGGUGGCAGGUACCUGUAAUCCCAGCUACUCAAGAGCCUGAAGCAGGAGAAUUGCCUGUACCCGGGAGGUGGAGGUCGUAGUGAGCCAAGAUCACUCCCCAUUGCACUCCAGCCUGGGUGACAGAGUGAAACUCUAUCUCAAAAAAAAAUUUUUUUCAAGCCUUCCUGAGUCUGGAACUCAGGCGCUGAGGUUCUGUGCCACCCAGAUCUGUGGGCCUCAAAGCUCACAUAUUUCACAUCCAAGAGGGAGAGGCUGGAUCCACAGGGGCCCAACAGGGAACCACUACUGCCCCUCUGAGCACUGGCCUCCGCCUCAGUGGAAUGCCUCCAUCUUCCACAUUUCCUAGGCAUUGGGAAGAUGGAAUGUAGCAAUGUUUUGUGGGAGAACUUUGAAAAAUAGAUAGAAGAAAAAAUGUUCACAUUAUACUCCACCCUCAAGGAGGGGGAGCAUAACUCCCCAGUCCCUAGGUGUGGGCUACACUUGGUGGCUCCCUUCCAAAGAGUUCAGUGUGGAAAGAGGGGUGGGGGUGGUGUCUUUAAAAUGGAGGAAUCUUACAAAUGCUAUCUCAGCCAGGUGAUCAAAGCCAGCAUCGGGAGUGAUCGGGCCUGCUGAUAACAUGUGCCCUUGAUAUAACACGAUGAGAAUGGCAUUUUACCUCUGUGGUCUUUCUCCUCAGAACCCAGAACCCCAGUCUAGCCAUGAGAAAAGCAUAAGACAGAUUCCAAUAGAGGGACAUUCUACAGAACACCUGACUAGGACAGGCACUGUGGCUCAUGUCUAUAAUCCCAGCACUUUGGGAGACCAAGGCAGGAUGAUCGCUUGAGGCCAAAAGUUCAAGACCAACCUGGGUGACAUGGGAAACAGGACCGGAGAAGGAAGUGACUUGCCCAAGGUCAAACUGCAAGCUUAUGACAGAGCCUGGACUAAGAACAAGCUUUCUCAAUGUCACAAGAAUUUAGUAACAGCCUACUGUAUACAAGCCACCAGCCUAGGUCCUCAUCAUGGUGAAGGUUGGUGGGGAGGUUCAGACUCUCGUCCAUGGGUUGACGGGGUACGGUGGCUCACACCUGUAAUCCCAGUGCUUUGGGAGGCCAAGACGGGCAGAUCACGAGGUCAAGAGAUGGAGACCAUCCGGCCAACAUGGUGAAACCCCAUCUCUACUAAAAAUACAAAAAUUAGCCAGGUGUGGUGCGUGCCUAUAAUCCCAGCUACUAGAGAGGCUGAGGCAAGAGAAUCGCCUGAAUCCAGGAGGCAGAGGUUGCAAUGAGCUGAGAUCACGCCACUGCACUCCAGCCUGGAGUGAGACUCUGUCUAAAAAAACAAACAAAAAAAAAAAGAUUUCUCCGCGGGUCAACACCUCUCCAGGGCCAGGUCUCCAGGGACACACAUUCUGCCCUUUCAAGGCUCCAAGCCAGAAGACGAAGCAGACCCUGAAACACUAUGAGUAGGAGGGGCCAGAGAGCCACAUACUUUAUUGUGCAGGAGACCCAGCCCCACUGCCUGCAACCCUGCAACUUCCCUGGGCCUCGCUGAGCUGCUCAGUAAAAUGGAGCUGAGGAUGGUGCCAGCUGUCAGUGAUGCUAAGAGGUACAAGAAGAAGCUGAAAUGUAAGACCCUGCGCAUUGCGGACACUCACUAAACAGGGACUCUUUUUCUUUUCAAGUGUGUUCUGCCAGGCGCGGUGGCUCAAGCCUGUAAUCCCAGCACUUUGGGAGGCCGAGGCAGGUGGAUCGCGAGGUCAAGAGAUCGAGACCAUCCUGGUCAACAUGGUGAAACCCCCGUCUCUACUAAAAAUACAAAAAAUUAGCUGGGCGUGGUGGCACGUGCCUGUAAUCCCAGCUACUCAGGAGGCUGAGGCAGGAGAAUUGCCUGAACCCAGGAGGCGGAGGUUGUGGUGAGCCGAGAUCGCACCAUUGCACUCCAGCCUGGGUAACAAGAGCGAAACUCCAUCUCAAAAAAAAAAAAAAUUAAGUGUGUUCUGAGUGCUACAGGAGUUCGAGGGUGGGGAGCAUUUGUCAGUUUGCCUUGAUAGGGGAUUGUCAGAGUUUACCAACUGAGGAACAUUUAGGCUGAGUCGUGGCUGGGUGCAGCGGCUCACGCCUGUCAUCCCAACAUUUUGGGAGGCUGAGGCAGGAAGAUCACUUGAGCCUAGGAGUUUGAGACCAGCCUGGGCAAGCUAGUGAGGCCCUGUAGCUACAAAAAUGAUUAAAAAUCAGCCAGGCAUGGUGGAUGUGCCUGUAGUCCCAGCUACUCAGGAGGUUGAGGCAGGAGGAUCAUUUAAGCACAGGAGUUCGAGGCUGCAGUGAGCCAUGAUUGUGCCACUACACUCCAGCCUGGGCAGCAAAGCAAGAUCCUGUCUCUAAAGUAAAAAAAAUAAAAUAAGUUGGGUCCUGAAGGAUGGAAAGGAG
rnacentral:lncRNA from 13 species